GUGAUCCUCCCACCUUGGCCUCCCAACGUGCUGGGAUUACAGGUUUAAGCCACUGUGCCUGGCCUUAAAAAUUGUUAACUAUUAAAAAUUACUAUAUAAGCUGGGUGCGGUGGCUCAUACCUACAUUUCCUACUACUAGGGAGGCUAAGGUGGAAGGAUCCCUUGAGCUCAGGAGUAUGAGGCUGCAGUGAGCGACGAUUGUGACCCUGCACCCCCAUUGCACUCCAGCCUGGGCAACAGAGUGAGACUUCAUCUUUAAAAAACCCACUAUAUAAGUAUAUUAAAUUAAUAAUUAACAUAGAACUUAAAAGUGAAUUAAAAAUAAGAAUAAUGCUCUUAAAUUGAUUAUUUUUUUAUGUCCUAAAGAUUUGCUUAGUGCAUUCAACAAUAACAUGAUCUGGAGAAAGGCCCCAUUUUGGAUUCUACAAGGUCUGAAUUAUAGUCUCUUCCUUGCCACUAACGAGCUGACUUUGAGAAAAUCCUCUUCACACUUUCAUCAUCUGUCAAAAAGAGAUAAUAAUUCUGAUUACUUCCAUAAUAGCAUUUCUAGUGAUAGACGUGGAGACUAGGAGAGAAUAUACCAAAUUGCAAUGUAUCCAAGUACUCUGAGAGACCAACUCCUACAGAUCCAGGAAGGGUGCCAUUCCCUCUAAGGACACUACUGAUAAGAUCUGGCCCACCCAGGAUCAUCUUUCUAUCUUCAAGUGAACUGAUUUGGGACAUUAUUCACAUCUACAAAAUCCCUUCACAGGAGCACCUAAGUUUCGUGUUUGAACAGCUGGAAAAAGAUGGAGACUCGUUAUCUUACUGGUCUCAAACUCCUGGGCUCAAGUGAUCCUCCUGCCUUGGCCUCCUUCCUAAAGUGCUUACAGAUUCUAUGUAAAUUAUUGAUUCCUCUGGAAAAGCCUCCUCAAUUUUCCGGAUUAGGCUGGCAACUGGAUUCUAAGAAAGUGCAUUACAAGAGGCUUAAUCCUAUGUGCAAGUUCAUCAAACUUCUGCUUACACUAUGUUUGGAAUGUCCCAAUGGUGAAAGUUAAUUGUAUGGCCAAACCCAGUGUCAACAUGAAAGGAGAUUACUCGAGGGCAAAAUACCUGAAGGCAUGAUUCACUGAGGCCACCAAAGUCUAUCACAUCUAGUGAAUCUUUCCUUUAUAAGACUCAACAUUGUUUCCAAUUAUGUAUUUUUUUGUGUUAUUUACUAUCGCUAUCUCUUAGUAGGCACUAAAAUCCAUGAAAACAGAGACCUUUUUGUAUUUUGUUAAGCAUUGUGGAAUGGAACCUAAAAUGCAAUUGAAAAGUUCCGAAGAGACCCAAGUGGCUGAGAAACUAACAAUAGACACCAUCAUGCAGGGCUUGCAAUAGGAAUUGUUCAAAACUGGUCUGUCCAGGGUUGGCUGAUUCACACUAUUUUGGAGAGAGUCUCACCUCAAGUCAAGUAAGAGGAUUUAAAAAUGACUUGGAAAACUUAACAUAUGGCUAUUGGAUUUGGGGACACUAUCCAGGGAGAAGAACCAGAGAUUGGGGUCAGUCAUAUGGCCAAGGGUUUAAUCAAUCAUGCCUUCAUAAUGAGACCUCAAUAAAAGCUCUGGACACCUAGGUUUGGAGGAGCUU
rnacentral:lncRNA from 13 species